AUUGAACGCUGGCGGCAUGCCUUACACAUGCAAGUCGAACGGCAGCACGGGAGCAAUCCUGGUGGCGAGUGGCGAACGGGUGAGUAAUAUAUCGGAACGUGCCCAGUCGUGGGGGAUAACGUAGCGAAAGCUACGCUAAUACCGCAUACGAUCUAUGGAUGAAAGCGGGGGAUCGCAAGACCUCGCGCGAUUGGAGCGGCCGAUAUCAGAUUAGGUAGUUGGUGAGGUAAAGGCUCACAAGCCGACGAUCUGUAGCUGGUCUGAGAGGACGACCAGCCACACUGGGACUGAGACACGGCCCAGACUCCUACGGAGGCAGCAGUGGGGG
rnacentral:rRNA from 1 species